UUCAUCAUCUCUAUGAAAUCACGUUCAAGAAGUCUCAUUCAGCACAGAUCGCGAUACUUGCCAUCAGUUUCCAUGUGCCACAGGGUCGCUGAAAAGAUGUAAAGGAAGCAGUCAUCCCUGUGGUGUUUGUGGAGAGGUAUUUUUUCAGAAAUGGAGAAGGCAGAAAGCUGCGGAGGCAGACAUUUGCAGCAGCCAAGUGUUCGAGUGAGCAUGAUGACCACAAGUGUGUGUCGAACUUUUCAUCACCUGAUGACAGUGUUUCCCAAUCCUGAUCCUGGAGAACCCCAGCACUGCACGGUUUUGGCGUCUCUCUUAUCUGUCUUGGAGUCUUCACUGAUGAGCUGAUGAGUUGAAUCAGGUGUGUUUGAUCAGGGAGACAUCUUAAAUGUGCAGUGUUGGGCUUCUCCAGGACCAGGAUUGGGAGCCACUGCCUUAUGGGACACAUCUAAGUGUUUACAGAGAUUUUUAGUUUGAUCAUUCAACUUUGCAUUUUAAAAUAAAUUAAUUGAAAAAUUAUUUUCAAUAUCUAAUUAUUAUUAUUAUUAUUAUUAUUAAUAUUUUACAUACAUUGUAAAGGUUUCCGUGACCCCUUGUGAGAUCUCGACAAAAGGUCUCACAAUUUAUUCCAAAAAUUGAUGCAUGAUGGGAUACACUAAGCCUGGUAUAGAGCUCCGGAGCGGUAUUGGAGAUAAUGUGGGUUUAGUGUUCAUUAAGGGCACUGCGCUUUGGCAUUAUUAAGACUUGCGCACUACUGAUAACAGUCCUGUUAGCUUGUAAUAAUUUUUUUUAAUAUAUAUAUGAAUAUAGCUGUAUAAUUACACACACACAUACGCACAGUAAUGUAUAAGAUGCAUGUAAUGUAGUAAUAUUUUUCUUUCUUUCUGUCUUACAGGAUUGUUUGCAGAUAAUGCUGUUCAAGCUCAACAGCUCUUUUAAGAGCUAACCCUCACAAACCUUCCU
rnacentral:lncRNA from 1 species